ACAAGAAGUGCCUUACUCACCUCAGAAUCCCAAUCAUCUAACAGUGUCUAACGAUGGUGUUUACUGGAUACAGGAACAAAUGCUAUUUUACUAACAAAGAAGUCCACGUACAGUAGGAGACAGGAGGGAAAAGACCUACAGGUCAUGGGGCGAGGGAAUCCUCAAGUCCGCCAGAGCACUGUCAGAAGUAAAAUCCCCAAGUAAAGGAUCAAAUUCCUUAUAAAGCGUUCAAGGAGCACCUUGCAACAUCACCAGAACCCUCCACAUAAAGGAGUUUCACCAAAAAGCUAAGUCAUCUCAAAGGGUUCCCAAAGACAAGCGUGAACUGCCUAUGAAUUUUAUUAGCAACUUCUUUACAGGGAAUAAUAUGGACACACCAAUCGAGGACUGAAGCACUAGAGAUGUCUUCUCUGAGCUCAUCAAGAAUGAUAAUGGAGGAAAAUCAAACCAAACAUUGAUGGACAACUGCAAAGAGCACUCCUCCCAUGCACAAAUGAAAAACAUCGCUGGCGAGAGAUCUAUAGGAUCAUUUUCAAAAACACGACCUUCUUGACACCGUUUGUCAGAUACAUUAAUCGCAAAAGUAAUAAAUGUCUAAACACAAAGGAAGUCGUUCUCAAUCAAGGCUCCCCACGUUAGUAGUAACUUGUUACUAACAAUAACUCGAAUCAGGAUAGAUCCAAAAAUCAUCCCUAUGAUGAUAUCCCUACUACUUUCACCUUU